rnacentral:rRNA from 1 species
AGUGAACGCUGGCGGUAGGCCUAACACAUGCAAGUCGAACGGCAGCACAGUAAGAGCUUGCUCUUACGGGUGGCGAGUGGCGGACGGGUGAGGAAUACAUCGGAAUCUACUUUUUCGUGGGGGAUAACGUAGGGAAACUUACGCUAAUACCGCAUACGACCUACGGGUGAAAGCAGGGGAUCUUCGGACCUUGCGCGAUUGAAUGAGCCGAUGUCGGAUUAGCUAGUUGGCGGGGUAAAGGCCCACCAAGGCGACGAUCCGUAGCUGGUCUGAGAGGAUGAUCAGCCACACUGGAACUGAGACACGGUCCAGACUCCUACGGGAGGCAGCAGUGGGGAAUAUUGGACAAUGGGAGCAAGCCUGAUCCAGCCAUACCGCGUGGGUGAAGAAGGCCUUCGGGUUGUAAAGCCCUUUUGUUGGGAAAGAAAAGCAGCAGGUUAAUACCCCGCUGUUCUGACGGUACCCAAAGAAUAAGCACCGGUUAACUUCGUG